UUAGAGGUGGUAUUUUUUAGUGGGGGUGGACUAGAUCAAUUUACUUAUGCGCUGAAAAAUAAGUGUCCAAAGCUGCUGAUAUGUUUGUAUUUUUGCUUCUGGAGCAAUUCAAAGGUUUUACUGAAUGUUGCAUUAGAGAAGUCAUAGAAAACAGACAAAGAAUGUAGCCCUUGAAGGUUAUCUAGGCCGUCCUGUAUUCUCAAAGAAAAUCUGUGGUAUCAUUCUUGGUAGACAUUUGUCCAGUUCUCUCUUGUUGCAGUUUAAAUCCACUACCACCUGGUCUCUCUGCAGUAGCCUUUUACCCAUCUGAAGACUGUUACCUUGUCACCCUGCGGUCUUCUCACUUGUAGGUGGUCCUUUCAGUGUUUCCCAGGCUCAGAGACCUCUACCUGCUUUCCUCUGUACUCUCUCCAUUUGAUUCCUGGCAUUCUUGGAAAUGAUGCUUCAGGCUGAAGAUAGUACUCCAUAUGAACAAAGACUACCUAUUGAUACUUUUCCAGGAUGAUAUUUGCUUUUUCACAACCUUGUGGCAUCACUGACGCAUGUUUAUUCUGUGACCCAUUACAACCUCUGAUCCCAUUUGCAGAGCUGCUGCCCGGUCAUCUUCAUCUCAUAUUUGUUCAGUUGACUAUUCCCAAGUGCUGUGCUUUGGGUUUGUCCUUAGUGAAAUGACUGCAUACGUCUUAUUUCCGUAAUUCAUUCUAUUUCUUCAGUUCAUCCUUCUGAAUUCAAAUCCUGCUGCCUGUGUAGGGCUAGCAGCUUCUCCAAGCAUUUCAUCGUUUGUGAAGCUGAUCCAAGUGCUAUUGAUUCCAUUGUGCAAAUCAUUAAUGAAAAUACUGAAAAGGUGCCAGAUCUGGGAUAAGUACUGUCCAAUGUAGUGGGCAUGGAAUGUCCUGAUCAGUGGCUCUUCAUUAGUGAAGCUUGCAAAUAGGCGUACUGUGAACAGGGAAUUAUUCUACCAAUGCACCAUUACUUGAGAGAAUUGAAGUUGUGUCAAAACACUGAGGCCUGAGGAGCACUGAGGUUCUUCAGCAAUAGGGCUGAUGAGAGUCCUCAGGAGGUCCAGAGCUGAAAAGACAGUAAAUAGCCUGAAGCAUCAGUGUCUUCCACGCAACCAGGGGAAUUAUAUUUGCUAUGGUCCUUCCCUCUUUGUGGAUGUAGAAAUCAGCUCUACGUAAUCUUACUAGAACUUUGUUCUAGUAUUUUUGUAAUUUAAACUGCUUUGUGAAAAAUUGAGUGAAGUUUAGCUUAAUUUUUCUAAGAAAAAAAAAAGGGUGGUCUUGAGUAGGGGGAGAAAGAAGGAGAUAGAUAGGAAUAUGAGCAGGAACUAAAAGUAUUGCUGGAAGGGAACAAACCUUCAGGAACUAGAGCUCUGAGUAAGCCAUGGUGUGUAUGUUUUCCUGCCGAUGGAAAUACUUUUUAAUUUUCAUUUUUGAGAAAAAAAAAUCAGUUUUUCUGACUGAAGUGCUAUAAAUGGCACGUUUCAUUAGGAAACUGCAGUUUAAUUUUGUACUUUUCAGAAGUGCUUCUCCAUGAAAAAGAGCCACCCGAGAUAUUUGGAUUUCACUCAAGUUUUUCAAAAUCUCAUGUGUUUUAAGAUAACGUUUCUAUUAUAGUUAUUUUUCAAAUAACUUCCAGUGACCAGACACUUUACAAGAAUGGUCUGCUAACAAUAUAUUUUGCUGUGGAAAGUGCUUUUCUUUCUUACAACUUCCUGUAAAACCUCUCCUUAUCUAAACUCCUGAUGAAGAUGAAUUUGCUGUUCUUGCUACCAGUGAUUGCACUAUUUUCCAAGGUCAGGCACAAGAAAAUAAAUAGGUUGAGCUGCACUGGCACUUACAUUUUCUGUCAUUUAGCUCAGCAUAUGAAAAUGUGGAGAUACACAAACAUAUAAAAAUGUUUUGCCUGCUCCCCAACCUUAAAAAUAGUUGCAAAAAUAAUGCACACUUACACGUAAUUCUUUAAGUACGGUUAGGCAAGAUUCCUGAGAUUCCUUGAGACUCCUGAAGAUUCCCAACUGAAAUUUUUGUAAGGGCUCUUUAGGAGUACUUGCUUAUUUAAUGCAAGUAAAGUUACCAAAUACCACACAUGCUACGGUAUAAAUGGUUUUUAAAGUAUAGCCCUGCAUUUCCUUUGGAAGGAGGAAGAUGUGGAAAAAUUACAUUAAAGAAUGAUGUGUCAGCCAGGUAAUUUUCCCUUAAGAUAUAAAUGAUUCAGAGAGGCUGAUUCUUGUGGCAGUGUUAUUCAGUGAACAGAAAUACAGCUUGAUACAAAGCAAUGUUUUGCUUUGUAAUGCUUUAUAUUGCUCUUGACGGAGUGACACUGCAUUGUAUCAGGAAUAUAAAAGCAGACUCACAUCCAUACUAUCUCAUACAUUGGAAUAAUUAAUAAAUGAUUUUUGCCAUCAAAAAGGCCUAGCUCUGGCACAGCCAAAUUUUUAAUGAACUGACCUGGAUUUAACUCAAUACAAGACUAGUCCAGAAGAUAGCAAAUGCAGUUACCACAUCAAUGACAUCUGGCCACAACUGAAACCUAUUUGGUGAAAAAAGGAACUUGAGAAAUCCAAGACAAUAAGAUAAGGCACUAGUCUCUCCAUAGUUUAUUAAAGUUGGGAAAUGUGAAAUCUAAGAGACUAACUUGCCCCAUGAUUUUGCAACUCUCAUUCGAAGCUGGUGUUAUUUUGCAUUUCAAGGUCUUAAAUGGAUAUUUUCAUUUUUUUUUAUACUUUAUGAUGUGUAAAUGAAAUUUCAGACUGGUUUUUUUUGGUUUUGUUAUUACUGUUUUAUCUUUUACCCUAAAAGCUAGAUACUGUCUGGAUUAGGGCACUUUUGAGUUGUCUUGCCUAUUUGUUCUUGAGUAACAGAUGCUGUUGUCUGAUAAAAAAAGCAUCAGUUCGGAGUAACUGAAGGGUUAGAUCCUGCUUUGUGAGCCAGUAAGAGACUAGCCUACAUAAGGUGGCUGCCAGCUGGGUGAAGGCACUGCUACUCAGGCUUACUCAGUGUCACCUGCCUGCCGCUUUCUUCCAGAGGGAGAUUUUUGCCCACAUCCCCCCCUCCCCAUGCGCCAGCCUCCAGCAGAAUUGAAUGUCUGGUUACUCAUUAACAUUGUUCUGUCAGAAUGAUUUGGGUAAGUUUAAAUACUUCAUAGUGAGGGAUUUUUAAAAAACCACCUGGAUCAAUUUUGACAGAACUGGGUUAGAGGAGGCUAUGCACACAGUGACGCCAGCAGAUGGGAAGGUGCAACUAUCUCACCCAGGAUGGGUGGUGAGGGCUGAAUGAGCAGCUUGGGGAAGUCUGCAUGGGUAACCAGUGGAGCUAGAUCUGUCGCAGCUGGGGAAGUCUGACUGAAUGGGCUUGCUUUAAAUCCAGCCUCACCUUCAGUGAGUUUUUCAGUUAUGAAUAAAACGUGUGACAGCAGCGCCAGUGAAAUAGCAGCAUCACAACAUCCGAUGGAGCAAGCAGUCCCAAGAAAGGGAGGAAGUUUGCAGCUGUAAUUUGUAGACUUUUGAGUGGGGAGCUGAGUUGGUAACUUCUUUAAUGCCUGUGAUUAACUUGCCUUUGGGACUCACAGCUGCUGCUGAAGACUUGGUGCCCUCUCCCCUUCACUGAAGGUGUUAGGAACUUGCCACAGAGUUCUUCACACCUCCCCAUAGCUGCUCCCCAGCCACAGGAGGAUAUUUCUCAGGAUGUCAGUCUGUGUUACGAAGAUAAUGUCAGUUCAAGGAGUUCUGCCUCCUCGCAUGUGCCUCUUCUGCUCAUCUAUCAUUCCUGCCCCUACACCACAAUAUAUCAGCCUCCUCAGGGUUGCUCAUAACCCACAUCCUUUCAGUAAUCCACCUUCUCACGGAGCCCCACCAGCAGCUCUGUGAGUAUUGCUGGGAAAACAGCAAACUGCUGUGGUGAAAGGAGAAGCCCAGGCCUCUUAAACUGGUUUUGCUGCUGAAGCCAGUGACAAGAGAAGCAACCACUGGGACAAUAAUUUCUCAAUUUUUGUCUAGGAUAAAUGUGUUAAAAUGGUCUAUAAAUUAUUUGGAAGACUGUGCAAGUGACUGGGCACAACUUUUUUAGGGCAAAUAGUCUGAAAAUGUGCAUAUUUAUUAUGUUUGUCACCAUUAUGAAAAUAGAGCAUCAAAAUUCUGUCUUUGGCUUUUAAGAUCCAGGGUACAUUGUGGUAUGAUGUGUUAAAUCUCAUUAUUGUAACCACUUGCAUUUGAAAUUUUCUAGUUAGGAGCAUAAGGAUUAAAGCAUUGACUUAACAUUUCAGCUUUUUUAGUAAAAAAACUUGCUCUUAAAACCCAGCUGGUUUGACCCUGGCCAAGAGUGUGAGAACCAUUACAACAUUGUCCAUUGAUGAAAGUCAUGUGUCAUUUUGGUUAAAGAUUUGUAAAACCUGUAUUAUCAGGGCAACAGUAAGUUCUUUUGUUGCGUUUCUUCCUGUGUAUGUGAAACUCCUGUUGCAAUCGAGUCACAGCCAUUUGAGGAUGAGGAUGUUUGAGAACACCAGUAACACGAGCGAUCAUCAUAGUUCAACUGGCCAAGCACUGAUUUACGGUAUUCUUUGUAGGCAGGUUACUAACAGGCAACAGUCCUCAAAACUUCAACGACUUUAAAAUGUUUCCAAGAAAAUGUUACUGAUUUUAAUAAUGAUUAUGCAAUACACAGUAAACAUGAAUGCAAGAGGUGAAGAGAUCAGCAAAGAGUUCUCAGUAGCAUGGAUUUAACAGAGGAAGCAAUGGGGAAAGUUCAAGGUUAAACUGUUCAGUUAAAGCCAGAACGGAAAUUGGGGCAAGAAAAAGAAAACAUGGUGUCAUGAACGUGAUGACAUCUCUGUGCUAGGAAGAUGACUCACAAUACAGUUGUCGAAUCUAGGUACAGAAAGUUCUUAUGAAUUCGAGAAAGUAAGGCAGAGGUGGUAAUUGUGUCAUGUUUUCACCACAAACAAAUCUAUUUUCUGCUUUGAUUAGAAGGCCAAGGAGAACAAAUGCAAUCAGAUAAAGUACAUAGUAAACCACGUGCUGAAAGUACUCACUUUACUCAUGAAAUAUAAUAACAUGUCAAUGAAUUCUUUUCAGGUUAGGCUGAGAAGGAGUUUUCUUAAAGUAUGCACACAGGAAAAAACGUGCAGUUUUAAGUGAAAACAAUAGCAUAUUGUUCUAACGCUUACAUCUAGAAUGCAUCAGCUAAGUAAAACGGCUCAGCAUAGUGUCAGGAUCAUCUUUGCAGUUUCAAAUGAGGACAAUACAAAUGCUGUGAGAAGCUGAGUUCUCUGGCUUUCACUCUGCAAAGCUCGUAAGCACAUUCUUAACUUUAAGCACAAACAUUCCCAUGGAAAUCAUUGGUGGUGACUCAAUAGCUUGGAAGAUCGGGUCCUUAAAAAUGUUUGGUUUCUAUUGCUAUUUUGCAUAUGUGUUGCAGGUUUUCCUACAGUAAAGCAGCAAGCUGCUGCAUGUCCCUUGUAACUGUGGGUACAGAGGAAUUUACAAUGGAAGCAUUUUGUCAUAUAUUUUGUGAAAUCUUUGCCAUUACCUCAAGUCUUUUCUGUAGAUUUAUUGUAGCACAGAAAGCUGCAAACUGAGACAUAAAUAUUCACUCAGUAGAUACCGAUUAUUUCUUUAUUGUCAAAAGACAUUUGUUGGGAGAGUUAAUAGAGCGAGAACAACGUAUCACAAGGUUUAUUACUUUGUAUGUGAGGCUGAGUAACUGGUUAACAAAACUGUAUUGUUUGCUGACUGGAGUCAUGGCAUUUUGUAAGGGAAAGGAACCUCCUAUGAAGUAGGACAGAAAUAUUCUGGCUGUCCUACUUGUAAAGGAAAUAAUCUGUGCUCAUUUCUCAAUACUAGUGUUUUGAAAUUAUGCAAGUACACCAGUGCAAGAUGGUAAUUAACUGUUGAAGAGACAGAGUCCAACUAUUCCAUGAUGUCUUUUUUUUAGAUCUUCCUGUUUUGUUCAUAUUAGUUUUACUAUUUGUUUGCACUUACACCCUCCUCUUUGCUUCUAGAGAAAAAGAAAAACCCUUUUAGUUGUAUAUUGCAGGCAGUUUGUUGCCUGUCAUAUAUAAAACUGCAUCUUCCUUGCAUUUUGGUGCAGCCUCUAUCCUUAUUCUGUGCUCACUUAAUACUUCAUGAAUUAGAAUAACAUCCUCUUCUACUCCACUGUUUUUGUUAAUUCUGUGUCUUGGGAUUUUGACAGGAAAAGAGACUCUAGUUUAAAGCCAGUCAGAGUUAGCAACUAAGGAUUUCAAGAAUGCAGAGUAAGCAGUUGCCACAGAAGUGGCCAGAGCAUCCAGUCUGAAUGUGAGUCCAAGACUUCCCAAAGUUUUCCGUUAAGCGGUGGUUCUGGUUACAGCUAACUUUAAUAAUCACACUUGAUACCAACCUUCUUCACAACAUUCCAUUUGCAGCAUCUAGAGAGGCAGAAUCCUGAUUUCUGCCAAGGACUUUCAGGCAACACAGUAAUAGUCAAAUGCUAAUGGUAAUGCUGCUGUCAGUAAUAGGAAGUUUAUCACUGUACUUUAAAAGACAGUAAGCUGAUUUACCUGUGUUGCUAUAUUUUUCCUUAAAAAUGCAAGAAAAAGGUAAAUUUAGAUCCAAAAUCUACUUGUUUUCUGGUACUAGCUCUGAUGCAAUGAAUGUUUCUAAAUGUAUACGUGUGUGAAGUAAAGUAUACCCCAAAUCAGUGCACACCUCCCUUUCUUUUUUAAACCUGGAUAUUUAAGCCAGUGCACAGUGGCCAGCACUGCAGUCCUUCUGACCUUCUGCUAGUCAGGUAGGCAUGAGGCUCUGCACUGGAACACAAGAAGAGGAUUUCAUUUUGCAGGCUGGAGAAGCAGUUGCAGUCUUUCAAAAUAUGGAGAUUUGAAUCACUGUAGCCUGUGAACUGCUCCUUGUUUUGUGACACAAGAAGGAACCAAUAAACUGCAUCCUCAGUGCCCACAUUUUUUACUCUUCUUUGGAAGCUGCCUUGCUUUGUGAAUGUUCAAGUUUUCUUUCCUCAGCUUGGAAGAUCCUGUUGGACAGUGAAUUAUCUGUCUGUGAGGUGGGAAGCUAGUUAGAAACCAGUGGCUCUUGCUCCAUUUCUCACAGAAAUAUUAUGAUGUUACUCAAGUGUCCCAGGAUGAAUCAUAUCAAACCCCUUAGACUUUAAGAUGCUUUUGUGGGAGGAUAGGUAAGAUUUGAGGUGUAUGCCACUACUGAUGAUGAUACACAACAAUGUGCCACAAUAUAGAAGCUGGUUUUAGUUUUAAAGUUCCUCCUGGUGCUGGUGAUUGUGGGUCCUGGAGGUGGGCUAUUGCUUUGGAGUAGCUGAAUGAACCAUUAAUUCAACUCUGUCUCUGAUAAAGAGAACGUUCAAUAUUUGUGCUGAGUAUUGUACCACUACGUGCCUAUAUACAUGUUAAGAUUAUUUUUUCCUUAGAGAAAUCCCCAUUAACUAUUUACAGUUAUCUCAGAUUUGUAAAAAAUCUGGUCUCUGGUUGUUGAAUUUUUAAUGAAUUUAGUUAAAAUUGACUUCUUACUCUGAUCGGUUCUGUCAUCAUUUUGUGUAUUGGCAUGUUCAUGAUGAAGGAAGGCAAAAAAGGGAGCGUGAGGACACCCAAACAAAUUUAAAGUUUAAUUUGAGUGAAUACUUUCUGAAGGUUUAGCCUGGUGCUGUUCAAAAUGCGAUGCUUCUGAAUCAGAAGUGGUAAACUUACAAGACAGAGUGCUGGAAGUUAUCCAUGGACAUCCUGUUCUUAUUAGACAUGGCUGAAACAUUCUGACAGCUUUCAAACCUGCUGAAAUAUUAUUCAUUAAAAGUUUUGAUGUCAACUCCAGCAUUAAUGGGAACACAUCUUGCUUAUCUCUUUAAGGGUGACUGUGAAAAAGGGGGAAGACAGAAGUGUAUCUGGUGAAAAACAGGGUGAGAAGAGAAGCGGAGAGCUAACUGUAUGAGAAAGAAAGAGACACCCUGGGAAAGCAGCAGAGGGAAUGAAAAAAAAUCCUCAUUUUUGUAAGUAUGUCUUUUCAGGACUGAGGCAGUGCCAAACCUUGGACUUGGAGGCUGUUCGGCUGUUCUGUCCUUAAUACAUUGCACAUGAUUGUCUGUAGCUAGAAAAACAUUUUUUGUGGUUUUUAAAAAAUUGAAUUAUCCUUAUAUGAAAUAAAACAAACGAUGAGUUUAAAUGACAGAGUAAAAAGAGACUAAAUUCAGUUUGCAAGCCCUCGGAGAGUUCAAAAAUCCCUUGGGUUCACAAAAACUCUGACUCCAUAAGGUUCCUAUAUUCCAGAGUAGGCUGUACAAUGGAGCUACUUCCAUCUGCUUUAAUUAAGUUUUCAUCAGAGUCUUUCUAUUUAACUAACAUAUUCUCCUCUCAAGACAUGUUUGUAUUAAGAGCAAGAUCCAGAAUACUCCUUUGCCACUUCCUGUGCAAUCUAGAUAGCAGUUAGGUAUGGAGAGAAGUUAUAAAACCUGUGUAUCUUUCAAAGAGCAUAAGCAGUUGAGUAUGAUGAUGAAUUUUUAUUUCAGGACCUAUGCCUCAUUCCAGAGAGGCUUAUUUGCCUUAUAAGAUCUGCAUCUUGACCCACUGGAAGUAUUUAAUGAGUCUAAACCCCACAAACGGCAGCCCUUAGUAUAUUCCUUAAAAAAUCUUUUCCUGUUGGCUGCCUCUUGGUAGCUCCCCCUCAGCAGGGCUUCUUAGCUUGUUCCUCAGAAACACUGUUCCCUAGCCUAUAUGAUAUCUAGGCUUCCAGCUCAGUGUCUUAACAGGCUAACAGCAUCCAGUUUUCAGAUGCUGGACUGCCUACGGAGCAACGUGAAGCUGGCUCUAAGUGUUACCUCCAAAGAGAAGCAAAGCCUUGCAGCACUCCAACCUGUGAUGCCAAUGUAUCUUCUAGGUAAACGCAAGCAAGGGAUGGAGAGAGAAUUCACCUUAAUUUCCUUCAGAAGAGGAGAUGUAAUGGUUUGGUGUGAUUAGUGAUUUAAUGGUUUCAUGAUCCAGAGAUGUCCCAGCCAGAGCAAGUCACAUUGACUUCUGGACAGGAGGGCCUUCAGGAAGGUCAAGACAGAAGCAGGAUCUGCAUGGGUGCUGGUUCCCUUGCCCACUGAGGUCCCAUGCGGUGGCUGUCAAAGGAAACCUUUCAGAUGAGACUCAUCUCGAGAUCCGUGUAAUCAAGUGCAUUACACUGAUGUGAUGUUGCUAAUUUCUCAGACGAAAUGUAGCAGUAUGCUGUGUCCCUUCACAGGUGUGUCACUUCUCUGCCCUCUUGGUAUCAGGAGUGAGAGUGGCAAUGGUGAUGGCAAGGGGACAGUUCAAGGAGUAUAAUCCCACAUGGGAGCUCCUGCUUCUGUGGAUGCAAAGGAAUAGGGGCUAAUACAUGGUGGGACACAGAAGAAAGGCCCAUUUCUCACUGGGUAAACUAAGAAUGGAAGAACAUGAGAGUUUGUCUCUGAAUUUACCUAUUUCAGUUUGCAAACAUAAUGAGUUGUAAAUAAGAGUGUUUGGAUGAGGUUAUCUUUACAAAUGAAGAAAGACUCUUCUGUAACCAUGCGCUGUUACCUGUAUGGUAGCAACCCCCUGUUCUGUAUGGCUGUUUGAAAUGAGUAGAACUGAUGUUGAAAAAUGAAAUAAAAAUAUCAAUAAAUUAA